rnacentral:rRNA from 1 species
GAUGAACGCUGGCGGCGUGCCUAACACAUGCAAGUCGAACGAAGCAUUUUUUAUGAAGUUUUCGGAUGGAUUAAAUUAUGACUUAGUGGCGGACGGGUGAGUAACGCGUGGGUAACCUGCCCCAUACGGGGGGAUAACAGUUGGAAACGACUGCCAAGACCGCAUAAGCCUACAGUACCGCAUGGUACGGUGGGAAAAAAUUUAUUGGUAUGAGAUGGACCCGCGUCUGAUUAGCUAGUUGGUGAGGUAAUGGCCCACCAAGGCGACGAUCAGUAGCCGACUUGAGAGAGUGAUCGGCCACAUUGGGACUGAGACACGGCCCAAACUCCUACGGGAGGCAGCAGUGGGGAAUAUUGCACAAUGGGCGAAAGCCUGAUGCAGCGACGCCGCGUGAGUGAAGAGGUAUUUCGGUAUGUAAAGCUCUAUCAGCAGGGAAGAUAAUGACGGUACCUGACUAAGAAGCCCCGGCUAACUACGUGCCAGCAGCCGCCGUAA